rnacentral:rRNA from 2 species
GGGCGUUAAGUUGCAGGGUAUAGACCCGAAACCCGGUGAUCUAGCCAUGGGCAGGUUGAAGGUUGGGUAACACUAACUGGAGGACCGAACCGACUAAUGUUGAAAAAUUAGCGGAUGACCUGUGGCUGGGGGUGAAAGGCCAAUCAAACCGGGAGAUAGCUGGUUCUCCCCGAAAGCUAUUUAGGUAGCGCCUCGUGAAUUCAUCUCCGGGGGUAGAGCACUGUUUCGGCUAGGGGGCCAUCCCGGCUUACCAACCCGAUGCAAACUGCGAAUACCGGAGAAUGUUAUCACGGGAGACACACGGCGGGUGCUAACGUCCGUCGUGAAGAGGGAAACAACCCAGACCGCCAGCUAAGGUCCCAAAGUCAUGGUUAAGUGGGAAACGAUGUGGGAAGGCCCAGACAGCCAGGAUGUUGGCUUAGAAGCAGCCAUCAUUUAAAGAAAGCGUAAUAGCUCACUGGUCGAGUCGGCCUGCGCGGAAGAUGUAACGGGGCUAAACCAUGCACCGAAGCUGCGGCAGCGACGCUGAUGCGUUGUUGGGUAGGGGAGCGUUCUGUAAGCCUGUGAAGGUGGCCUGUGAGGGUUGCUGGAGGUAUCAGAAGUGCGAAUGCUGACAUAAGUAACGAUAAAGCGGGUGAAAAGCCCGCUCGCCGGAAGACCAAGGGUUCCUGUCCAACGUUAAUCGGGGCAGGGUGAGUCGACCCCUAAGGCGAGGCCGAAAGGCGUAGUCGAUGGGAAACGGGUUAAUAUUCCCGUACUUGGUGUUACUGCGAAGGGGGGACGGAGAAGGCUAUGUUGGCCGGGCGACGGUUGUCCCGGUUUAAGCGUGUAGGUGUGUGUUCCAGGUAAAUCCGGUUCACUUUAACACUGAGGCGUGAUGACGAGGCACUACGGUGCUGAAGCAACAAAUGCCCUGCUUCCAGGAAAAGCCUCUAAGCAUCAGGUAACAUCAAAUCGUACCCCAAACCGACACAGGUGGUCAGGUAGAGAAUACCAAGGCGCUUGAGAGAACUCGGGUGAAGGAACUAGGCAAAAUGGUGCCGUAACUUCGGGAGAAGGCACGCUGACACGUAGGUGAAGUGAUUUACUCA